rnacentral:rRNA from 1 species
UCUCUGACCCCCUUAUGUAGACAUAAUACGGUAGUNGAUAUCAUACCGCGCAGAGGAAAAACAUCUGCAUGCAUUAAUCACCGGCUGAGUGGUGCUCCCUCUGCGAGGGAGAAAAGUAUUCUAUCGGUCAAGGGAUGAGCCCGCGUUGGAUUAGCUAGUUGGUGGGGUAAAGGCCUACCAAGGCCGACGAUCCAUACCUGGUCUGAGAGGAUCAUCCCGCCACAUGGGGGGACAUGAAGAACCACCGGGCUCCAAAAACCUUCCCGUAAGCCGAGGAGAGCAGGCAAAGACCUAUGCUCGGGGGCGACAUCAUCAUCUCCGGGGGGGACCAAAUUUCGGGAAGCGCAGCACCCCCACAACAAGA